GUUCUACUGGGCGCCGCUGAUCUGGACAAUUCCCUGGGAAACAACUUUCUCUACUCUGCCUGAUGGCAGGUGAAGCCCUCCGCCCUUUUCAGGGACAGUUUUAAUAAUUUCCAACUAUCAACAUGGAAGAAGAGGCUUAGAAGAAGCAUGGGAGACAAUUAAAAUUUACGAGGAGGAAGCGUUCAUACAAACAGUCUCUACCUGGCCUGCGAAGGGCCACAAUAGUGGGCCCCUAGAGGACACAGAAUUUAUUUCAAGAGCGCAAGUGGAGAAGGAUGUGUAUCUGUCCUACGUGAUCUUCUGACCACAGAAUCUGAGAUAUCAGAGAUAGCAAGAUUGUAACGGGACUUCGGAGAUCUGUCUAGAAUGGAUAAAUGGAUUUCACCUCUCCUGCAUGGCGGUGGAUGAGAAACGGCUGCCUGGAGUGCACUGAGUUAAGAAUUCUCCCGUCAUAGCAACUAGUGAUGUCUGCCCUUCAUGUCAACUAGUGAUGUCUGCCCUGGGCAUAGGGUAGAAAUGUGACCAUAUACACAUGUCGGGGUAUUUUCCAUCCCUGGGUUAGUCCCUUCCUAUCAUCUGGUUAAACCUCAUGAAGCUAGGUAAUAGCUAGGUAGUAGCUCAGAGACCUUCCCUUGGUGAAGGCCUUCUCCAGGCAGAGCUGGAAGUGAAAGAUACAUUGAUACAUGGAUGCUGUGUUAAGUUAUCCAGAACUGAGCACAGAAGACUAAGCAUUUCACACACAUUGUUUCUGAUCCCCCCAACAACUCUGCAGCGAGGCAAGAGGAUACCCAUUUUACAGAUUAGGAAAUCGAGUUUCUGAGAGUUUAAGUGACUUGCCAGAAGUGUACUGAAUUGUUAAGUGGCACAGCUGGAAUCUUCCUUUCAGCCACACUGUGUUCCCAUGGGGCAAAGGAGUGGACCCUCCAACUAGACCAUUACAGAAGCUCUCUUUUCCUCGGGCCUCACAGAGUUACCCAGGCAACCUCUUGGUCUCCAUUUGGCUUUGACUCUGGGACACAGCCUUGGCUUUCACCAGACAAUGGGGUGGUUCUUCCAGGGGUUGGGAAAUGCCUGUGUUUUGUCCCAGACAGUUCCGCUUGGGCCAGAAGCACGUCCUCCAUGGACUCACCUUUGAAAGUCAUUUCUCUGCAUGCAGAGGCAGGGCC